UGCAGAGUUUCCGAAUGUCAUACCCAAAACUUUCGAUAUUCACAAGUAAUUUGCAGCUAAAUUAAUUUGCGAAAAUCUCUUCAUGCGCAUUUGAAUACCCAAUCGAGUGGAACAGAUGUGCAGAGGUGCAAAACUAAACAAACAAAUAGGUCUCAAUUGACGCAGUCGAAUGUGGCGGAAGUUAAUUGUACAAUGUAAAUGGAAUUAAGGAUAACUGGUGAUUUUGAUAUCAGAAUCUUCAAGUGAACGGAAUUUGUAAUAGUUCAAGUAAAAGUUCAUGAAAGCCGUAAUUUUUCUAAUUCCAUAUAUAUGUGUGAUAGUGUUUAUCUUUUUAAAUAUGCGAAACUUAACAACCACAAAAAAUCUUGGCGAACCAUCAACGCAGCGCCAAACGCCACUUGCGUGUUACAAUAAAUCAAAUUAUUCAAUGGCACACCAUAAACUAUAUUCAGUAGUUAAGCACUGUUUGAGCAUUUCACCGUCUCCAAGCUGUCCCUUCACAUGGCUCUACAAAUAUUAUGCAAUAUCUUCAUAAUUAAUUCAUUUGCGUGCGGCGACGAACAAUAAUUUUAACUUACGUUCUGGAAGAGAAGAACACAAUUCAAUGUAUGAAGGAAGUAAAAGAAAGAAAGCAUGUAAAUAUGUAAAUGAUGGACACGCGUGUGGGAAGAACAUGCGGAAGCAGACAUGUUGUAGACACUCAUUGAGCGCAUUCUCUCAUAAAUACUUAUGUAUGUAAAUUUAGAUCUGCGUGAAUAACAUUCAAAUUCAAAUCGUAAACCGGGAGUUUUAUACGGGGCGCUGCGUACUGUCAAAAACAAAUGGUUUAGCCACUUCUUCUUACAUUCGCGCAAUUCACAAUGGCAGAAUGAAACUUAUUGGAAGAGAGAAGUACUGAGAACAGUUGGAAAUGUGUACUAAAAAACUCAUUUGACUUCAAAAAUAUAAUAUCUAAUAUAACAA